CUCUGUGUUCUUUAUUUAAUGGUUUUAUUCAUUUAAAUGAUAUUGUAUUCCAUUGUUGAUAUAUAUAUAUAUAUAUAUAUAUAUAUAAUGUUUAGAUUAUGAAGUCGCUUUGAUUUGUGAAAAUAAUUUAUGGUUUCAUAAUGUAAAAAAUUGUAGGAAUUUUUUUUAGUCGAUAAAAUUGUGAGAUUUUAUGUUGCUUAAUGAAUUUUAUUUUCAGGAGAUGCCUACUCAACAUGAUUGUUGAAAUAUUUAUUUAUUUCUUUAUUUUUUAAGAUUGAAAAAUUCAAAAGAUCAAGUUUGGAAUGACUGGAGAUACCUGCUGUAUGCUUGUGAAUUUCCACUGUUUGUAAUUUUAUAGGGUUGCUAUUCUAGAAGGUCCUCAACAAGUCUGUUGCAUUUUAUAUAAGCUUACUUGAGUCUUUCUUAUAAGCUUACAAGUCUGUUGCAUUCUUAUAAGCUGAUUUGGAAUUGUAGCGAUAGUUGCAGGUGCAUUUUUCAAUAAGCUUCUAGCUGCUCUGGGAUUGUAGCAGAUGUUGCAGGGUGUUGUUCAAUAAUCUUCUAGGUCUUCUCAGAGAGUUAAUACUUUACUUUUUUUAAAAAUUUAGGGAUAAUGAAACAUUUAUCCUUCGUAAGUAAUAGAAGCCACCAUUUGAUAUUCUGUUUCUCUAUUUCAUGUAUCGCUUUCUUUACAUGCUUAUUUACUGUAUUUUACACAUUUCCCCCUUUAUUUUAGUGAAUGAAGCUGUUCUCCAGUUCACAAGUCUAAGUUUCUAUGUAGCUCGAAAAGUGAGCCUUCAGUGGAUGGGUAUGGCAUUUCAUCUAAAGGAGAUCUUUUCAUUAUUUUGUUACUGCUUUUUUCCAGAUAACUUUCUGGGAUAAUUUGAUGCCCUUUGAAUGACAUGAUUGCUGAUGCUGAUGGUUCCUCUAAAUAAUAGAUGAAACACUGUUUCCUGUGCAUCAAUAUAUUUCUUUGAUGUCAUUUCACAACUCAUUAGAUACAUCACUUUUUUAGGUGGUUCCUAUUGUUGUCUGUUUUCUAGGAUUCCUUUCCGUGGAUAUUCCUGACUUUUAUCUUUGCUUCUCUUCUAUUGAUGUCUUUUCUUGAUAUGAAUUUCUUCUUUUCAUCCUCCAAUGUCGAUUGCCUGCUUUUCCAACUUUUAGGUGCUCAUCCAGGUUCUUAGAUCCAUUAAACAGUUUGAUGAUCCUUGGAAGGAAGGUACUGGGUUAUCAACUAAUUCCAAGUUGGAAUUCUGUGAAGGACUUUUGCCAUGCUGUAGUGAUAUAUAUAGAACAGGCAAACAUUUUCACCUUUUGAGUGUUGUACGUUGAGUAUUUGCAAUCUGUUAACCUACCAAAACUACAGUUUUCAUGUCUUAGGACAAUAGAGAGCUGGAUACUUGUCAUAACAUUUAUUAUAGUGUCAUGUAUCUGUUUGGAAAUUUAGUAAAGUGGUUCUUCUUUUGAGUAUGACUUGAGGCCCCUAAAUCAUGAUUUAAAUUGUUGGUCGGAGGACCGAUGUUUACCUAUUGAUAUUAAUCACUGGUACAGAAGCAUAGAACUCAGUAUAUCUGAAUCAUUUAUAUUUAUUAUAUUGUUUUUUUCCGGUGACAUGCAUGGCACAGGUCGCUCUUGGUAUCUUGUUACUGUACCUCUCUGAUAUUUUUUUUGAAACCAGUAUUGAACUGCUAUCGAAAACCAUACCCUAAAUAAUUGCAUGAUGACAGACACUUCAUGGGUAGAAUAUUUAGCUAAGGAGCAACUGAAGCAGUAUCCUUUGUUUACAGAGUCUUACGCAUGCAGGGCAGAACCACAAUCUUCUGUGGCAAGUGAGUCCCUUCUGCAUCUUAUUUCGUUGAACUCUAAAGUUGACUGCAUACAUGGAGGAAAGCAAAUGAUUUCUUAACAGCGAUGCCGUCAUCAUGGUCGUGAUACUGAGAUGGUGCUCAUCAGCGGUGCGCAGACGGUUUUGUUUAUGAGUUUUGGCUACAUGCAGGUCAUGGAAGCAUAUAGCAUUUUUUGGUGAUGAUGUGGAUUCUACAAUCUGCUACCUGUUGGAGAUGGAAGGCAGCUAAGCUGUGCAUCUCCUGGUGGCAGAAACCGACACAAAGGGAGAGCAGUAGCAGAGUGAGUAUUGGAGGUUUGUCACGUUCAUACUGGUCCAUGGUCAGAAUGGUAUGGAUUCGACCUAUUUUGACAAGGGGGAGGGGGGAAUACGUCCGAAGAAGAAGAGGAAGAAGUGGAAAGGUAAAAAAUAAUAAUAAAGGAAAGAAGCAGUACCGGAGCGGACGGUCGCAUGGCGAGUUGGUCUGAUUGGCAGUCAGACCGGUAAAUAUUGAUCCUCAACGACCGAAUCAAUUGGUUUGUUAUGGGUCUGUUUGAUAUCUUACGUAACCAAAGCUACUCAUCCUGAUGUGUGUUAAAAAAAAAAGCUUAGUGAGUGCAUAAUAAUUCUGUCGACUGAUGAUUCGCAUAAGCAUCCUGCCACCCAUCCGGAUGUCUGGGUGCAGGAGAAAUGCUAUCGUUGAAGAAGGAUCCAAGUCCAGACAAUUAUAACAGUGGUGCUUCCGAUAAAAUAACAUAUUGCUAAUUCCACACUCGUAAGUAGGUGUAUGCAUAUAUAUGAACCGGUUGAACAGUGGUGUUAUUAAUAUUUAUAUAGUUUUGGAGUUUCCGAUGAGACAGCUUUUGUA